AAUUUUCUGUUAUUUGGAGGUUGAUUUUUGAAACUAUUGAUUUAUCUCACCUCUUUCUCCUCAUAGCCGAUGAUAGAUCAGCUUUCUUUUUCUCCCUUUCUACUUUCUAUGGUUUCUCUCUUUUGAAAUUCUACUCCAAGAAAUCAAAUCUUCUUCAAAUGAUCGCUGCAAAGUCAGAUCAAAAUCAACCCACUUGAGAAAGCCAUUGCAGCAACAAAACCAAAGGUUGAUAAAAACCGACCCUGUUGCGCUAGCGUUUCGCGUUCUUUCUAUAUGAUCUGAGGCGGUGCUUCUUAAAAUGGCCAAGUUUUGCUUGGCUAACAAAUGUUGUAGCCUUAUUGCUCCAUAUUAGCAAUAGGAACUGUUAUAGUAUUUGAUUAAUGUUAUUGAGUUCUUGGCAAAAUCUUUUACCUUUUGAUGUUGAUUGUGAGUAAAUUGUCUUGUAUUUUUCACUAGAUCGGAUUUGUUACUCUAGGAUUAGGACUUGGGUUAUUGCCUCUAGCCUUUAGGUUUUUUAAGGAUUUGUUACUUUGUGUUAUACAAAGAUUGUUAUUUUCGGUUUCUGGUUUUCGACGGCUGCCCUCACGGUCCGCUUGUCUUUGCUCAUAUCGAAUUUAUUUGUUGUAACACUUUUCAUCUGUUUAUUG